rnacentral:lncRNA from 1 species
CUUUAUCUCAACUUACAAGUAGUAGAUAUAUUGAAGUCCCUAGAAUCAGAAAUACAAGAGGAAAUUGCAGGAGUAGCAAAACUAACGAUAGAAGAAGAAGGAGGUGAGGAACUUAGAAGAAAUUGAGAGAGAAAGAGUGUCCAGUGAUAACAAAAAGUACUCUGCCCUGCACUGCUCCACUCACGAUGCUUUAUGCCUACUGCUUUGCCAAUUUUACCCCUUUUUACGUGAACUUCCCCCUUUCCACACGUAAUCACCAAGUCUUUUAGGAGGAAUGACCUUUCUAGCAGUCUUACGUGGCAGUCCCAUGUGCUCAUCCUGAGUGGCAUCCCAGUCAACAAUCGUCUCAUUCACAACAUUACUCCCUUCCUGGAAAGCAACCUUGUCCUCAAGGUUGGACUUAGGGAGAUCUUCUGUAGUAGGAACACUCAGAUGUAGAGGAGUCACUUGCUGAUCCGGAGUGCCAACACAUUUCUUCAACAUAGAAAUAUGGAAAACAUAAUGGAUUUUUGCAGAUUCAGGCAGUUCCAGGCGAUAAGCAACAGGACCAAUGCGUUUUAACACCUGAUAGGGCCCAAAAUAACGCCUCCCAAGCUUAUGAUCUCGCUGCAAGCGUAGAGUAUUAUGUCUGAAGGGCUUAAGUUUGACAUACACCCAAUCACCCACCUCAAGGAAGGUAUCAGUCCUAGACUUAUCAGCCAACCGCUUCAUGCGAUUCUGAGCCUUCAACAAAUUGUUUUUGAGGAUGUGCAAGACUUCAUCCCGCUGCAACAGAUAGGACUCAACCAGUUCGCUCGCACUACUCCCCAAAAUGUACCUAGCAACAGUAGGAGGUUCACGACCAUAUAGUGCCUGGAAGGGGGUCAUACCAGCUGAAGUGUGAUAUGAAGUAUUAUACCAAAAUUUUGCCCAUGGCAACAUAGCAACCCAUUGGGAAGGCACCUUAGCGACAUAGCAACGCAAAUAUUGUUCCACACAUUUGUUAAGAGCCUCAGAUUGUCCAUCUGUUUGAGGAUGAUAGGUUGUACUCAUGGCUAAAGUGGAUCCUUGCAAGCGAUUAAUCUCUUGCCAAAAAGAAUGCAAGAACCGCGGAUCAUGAUCUGUCACAAUAGAACGAGGAGGGCCAUGGAGCCUAAUAAUACCCACCACAAAGGCCUCAGCUACUGUAUGAGUCGAGAAAGUAGAUGACAAUGGAAUAAAAUGACCGUACUUAGUGAGACGGUCGAUGACUGUCAUGAUCGUGGUCUUUCCCUUUGAGCUCGGAAGACAAGUAAUGAAGUCCAUUGCAAUAUCCUCAAAGACCUGGUUUGGAAUCGACAAUGGUUGUAGUAGCCCAGCAGGAUGUAGGUGAGAAUCUUUCAUUUGCUGACAUAUAUGACACGCAGCCACAAAAGUUUGUACAUCCGUGCGCAUCCGUUUCCAAAAGAAAUUAGAUGACAAACGAUGGAAUGUGCGCGCAACCCCGGCAUGUCCUCCUAUAGCAGUAGCAUGGAACUCAAGUAGUAAUUUAUGACGUAAGGGAGAGUCCGAGGGAAUCACUAUCCUGCCUUUAUAAACUAACAUCCCUUCUUUGAACUGAUAGUCAUCAAAAAUUUUAUCCCCAAGAUUCAAGGCUUGCUGUAUUGCUACUAACUCGGGGUUGGUCUGAUUCAGCUGCUUUAAAUCAGCCUCUAUAGCAAAAGAAUUGACUGAAAUAGUCAUGAGAACAGCCUCUGAAGUACGCGACAAGGCAUCUGCUGCUGUGUUCUAUUUUUCAGGCCUAUACAAGAUACGAAAGUCAUAGCCGACAAGUUUAGUGAGCCAUUUUUGUUGCUCAGGGGUCUGUAUAGUCUAGGUAGUUAAGUUACGCAGUGAUUGUUGAUCAGUAAGGAUAGUGAACUGGCGCCCCAAUAGGUACUGUCUUAGCCACAUCCUCAAUCUUGACCCUUAUUUGAUGGUAACCUGAUAACAAUGUUGUGAAUGAGACGAUUGUUGACUGGGAUGCUACUCAGGAUGAGCACAUGGGACUGCCACGCAAUACCUCGCCCAGAUGCAUCAGUUUCCACCUGAAACUCCUGACUGAAAUUGGGCAAGGCCAGAACAGGGGUAGAGCUUAAUCGAGAUUUUAAAGUGUUGAAAGCAUGUUGCUCAACUGCUGUCCAUUUGAAGGAAUCCUUGCGCAACAGGUCAGUUAAGGGACCUGCAAUAGCUGCAUAAUGGUGAAUAAACCUGCGAUAAUACCCAGCUAGCCCAAGGAAACUACGAACUUCUUUCACUGAUCUUGGUGGCAGCCACUGCCCAAUGGUAUUGAUUUUGUCUGGAUCGACUGAAAGUCCUUGAGCAGAGAUGAUGUGGCCGAGGUAAUCAAUAGAGGACUGACCAAACAAGCAUUUCGAGCGUUUAGCCACAAGUUGAUGUUGCCUCAACAACUGCAAUACCACUGCUAAAUGCUCCAAAUGAUCACUCCAAGAUGCACUAUAGACCAAUAUAUCAUCGAAAAAAACCAGAACAAAGUGACGCAUAUGUGGACGAAAAAUCUCAGUCAUAGUAGCUUGAAAUGUCGAAGGGGCAUUAGUCAAUCCAAACGGCAUCACUAAAAAUUCAUAAUGACCGUCAUGAGUACGGAAGGCUGUCUUAGCCACAUCCUCAAUCUUGACCCUUAUUUGAUGGUAACCUGAUAACAAGUCCAACUUUGAAAAGACUUGAGCACCAUGUAAUUCGUCAAACAACUCAUCAAUGGUUGGAAUAGGGAAGCGAUCUCGAACUGUGAUGGCAUUGAGUGCUCGAUAAUCAACACAAAAGCGCCAUGUGCCAUCCUUCUUACGGACUAAUAACACCGGUGAUGAAAAUGGACUGGUGCUGGGCCGUAUAAUUCCAUCUUUAAGCAUAUCUUUCACCAUCUGCUCCAUGACCUGCUUUUGGAAGUGCGGGUACCUAUAUGGUUUAACAUUCACUGGUUGUGCCCCUGGGACGAGGUGUAUCGAAUGAUCCUGAACACGAGAAGGUGGCAAUCUUAUGGGUUUCCAAAAUACAUCAUGAUACGACUCCAAUAGACCACUCAAAUCUGUGGUCAUUUCACCUGCACAACUCCCUUCAGGAGUAAUCAUUGCCAAAAAAAAAACGAAGCAAUAGCAUCAGUCGUUGUCAUACGCCUUAAACUAUGCAACUGAAUUUGGUGAGCAUCAGUGGGUGAAUCCCCCUGCCAUAACCACUUAGACCCAUGUAAAGUAAAUUCAAAUUCUCUUGUUGCAUAAUCAGUUAUAACACGCCCCAACGUAGCCAACCAUGUCACUCCAAGGACUACAUCAGCACCUUGGAAAGGUAAGACAUAAAGGUCCUCGACUAUAGUACACCCUUGAAUCAAUACGGUGACUUGCUUCACCACACCUUCACACGAGAGCCUUUGUCCACUGCCCACCAUAACUGCAAAACGGGGAAUGACCUCAACUUUGAGCUGAAGUUGUUUGGCCGCACGUGGUUGCACAAAAUUGUGAGUACUUCCGCCAUCCACUAAAACUUGGACUGGUGACCCAUUUACCUUUCCAGUGAAUCGUAAUGUGGAGGGUGAAAUUCCCCAGAUAAAGCAUGAUAAGAAAUAGAUGAUUGCUCCUGUAAUUCUAAACCUUGUGAUUCCUCCACUAAGAAAUCCUCAUCGACAAACGGUUCUGGCAAGUUAGGGUCCAAAUCGGAUCCAUCAGUGAGCAACAUAAGUUGUGGGGGUUUCUUACACUUGUGUCCCGAUGAGUACUUCUCCUCACAAUAAUAACAUAAUCCUCGCUCACGGCGGCUCUGGAGCUCUGCAUGAGUGAGCCUUCUAAGAAGAGUACGAUUUGAAGAGGAAGGUGAGGCACUGUAAGGUGUUAAAGAAGAAGAGGGAUUUUGAUUUAGGGUUGCAGAAUUUGGGGUAGGCAAAAUGGAAGUUGAUCUGGCAAAAGCUGGCCUAACGGGUCCUUUCUCCGCUUGGAUCCGUCGCUCAUGUAUAUGAGCUAAAUUAAGUGUCUCUUCGUAACUCUUAGGCUUAUGGACCAAAACAGAGUUCUUAAUAUCUUCACGAAGCCCAGAAAUAAAGAGACGUACCAUUCGGUUAUCAUCCAUGUCGUCAGUCUCGUUUGCAAUGAUCUCAAAUCUGGACUGAAAAUCGGCGACAGUGGUCAUCUGUCGGAGCUUCGCUAAACGUCCCUCGGCGGACUCCAAUCCCUUUUUAUGGAAACGGAUCCUCACCUUCGAAGCAAAGUGCUCCCAAUCCACCAGUUGUUUAUUCCGAAAAAGCCACCGAUACCAUUCCAAUGCAUCCCCGUCCAGAUAGAAAGAAGCAAGUGACAAAUGCUGGUCUUCUGCAAUCUUGUAAAAUUCAAAAUAUCGUUCUGCCUGAAAGAUCCAAGCCUCCGGAUUCUCUCCACAGAAACGUCCAAACUCCACCGAAGCUGGCCUGUGACGGAGGUUAGGGGCUGUCGGAAAACGGUCAUCAUGUGAGUCCCUCUCUGGGCGCUGGGUUUUGCUUCCUACCACUUCUAGUAACAAAGAGCGAAUAUCUGCGAGAAUGGAGUCCUUCAUACCCUGAACUGAUUCUUCAACAAGUGACUUGAGUCUUUGGUCAUCCAUGGAAGACCUCUGGAUGAAAGCACCAAUGUAACAAAUUGACACAGUGAAACACCAACUACACUUAUACUAAUACCCUUUAUCUCAACUUACAAGUAGUAGAUAUAUUGAAGUCCCUAGAAUCAGAAAUACAAGAGGAAAUUGCAGGAGUAGCAAAACUAACGAUAGAAGAAGAAGGAGGUGAGGAACUUAGAAGAAAUUGAGAGAGAAAGAGUGUCCAGUGAUAACAAAAAGUACUCUGCCCUGCACUGCUCCACUCACGAUGCUUUAUGCCUACUGCUUGCCAAUUUACCCCUUUUUACGUGAACUUCCCCCUUUCCACACGUAAUCACCAAGUCUUUUAGGAGGAAUGACCUUUCUAGCAGUCUUACGUGGCAGUCCCAUGUGCUCAUCCUGAGUG